AUUGAACGCUGGCGGCAGGCCUAACACAUGCAAGUCGAAUGGUAACAGGAAACAGCUUGCUGUUUCGCUGACGAGUGGCGGACGGGUGAGUAAUGUCUGGGAAACUGCCUGAUGGAGGGGGAUAACUACUGGGAACGGUAGCUAAUACCGCAUAACGUCGCAAGACCAAAGAGGGGGACCUUCGGGCCUCUUGCCAUCAGAUGUGCCCAGAUGGGAUUAGCUAGUAGGUGGGGUAACGGCUCACCUAGGCGACGAUCCCUAGCUGGUCUGAGAGGAUGACCAGCCACACUGGAACUGAGACACGGUCCAGACUCCUACGGGAGGCAGCAGUGGGGAAUAUUGCACAAUGGGCGCAAGCCUGAUGCAGCCAUGCCGCGUGUAUGAAGAAGGCCUUCGGGUUGUAAAGUACUUUCAGCGGGGAGGAAGGGAGUAAAGUUAAUACCUUUGCUCAUUGACGUACCCGCA
rnacentral:rRNA from 1 species